rnacentral:rRNA from 1 species
UACAGAGGUCUCAAGCGUUGUUCGGAUUCAUUGGGCGUAAAGGGUGCGUAGGUGGCGCCGUAAGUCGGGUGUGAAAUUUCGGAGCUUAACUCCGAAACUGCAUUCGAUACUGCGGUGCUUGAGGACUGGAGAGGAGACUGGAAUCCAUGGUGUAGCAGUGAAAUGCGUAGAGAUCAUGAGGAAGACCAGUGGCGAAGGCGGGUCUCUGGACAGUUCCUGACACUGAGGCACGAAGGCCAGGGGAGCAAACGGG